rnacentral:rRNA from 1 species
GGUUAGUGGCAGACGGGUGAGUAAUGCAUAGGAAUCUACCUAGUAGUAUGGGAUAGCCACUGGAAAUGGUGGGUAAUACCGUAUAAUCCCCGCGGGGGAAAGAUUUAUCGCUAUUAGAUGAGCCUAUGUCGGAUUAGCUAGUUGGUGGGGUAAUGGCCUACCAAGGCAGUGAUCUGUAGCUGGUCUGAGAGGAUGAUCAGCCACACUGGAACUGAGACACGGUCCAGACUCCUACGGGAGGCAGCAGUGGGGAAUAUUGGACAAUGGGCGCAAGCCUGAUCCAGCUAUGCCGCGUGAGUGAGGAAGGCCUUAGGGUUGUAAAACUCUUUCAGUAGGGAAGAUAAUGACGGUACCUA